rnacentral:rRNA from 1 species
GACGAACGCUGGCGGCGUGCUUAACACAUGCAAGUCGAACGGAAAGGCCCUGCUUUUGUGGGGUGCUCGAGUGGCGAACGGGUGAGUAACACGUGAGUAACCUGCCCUUGACUUUGGGAUAACUUCAGGAAACUGGGGCUAAUACCGGAUAGGAUCUCCUGCUGCAUGGUGGGGGUUGGAAAGUUUCGGCGGUUGGGGAUGGACUCGCGGCUUAUCAGCUUGUUGGUGGGGUAGUGGCUUACCAAGGCUUUGACGGGUAGCCGGCCUGAGAGGGUGGCCGGCCACAUUGGGACUGAGAUACGGCCCAGACUGCUACGGGAGGCAGAAGUGGGGAAUAUUGCACAAUGGGCGGAAGCCUGAUGCAGCAACGCCGCGUGCGGGAUGACGGCCUUCGGGUUGUAAACCGCUUUCGCCUGUGACGAAGCGUGAGUGACGGUAAUGGGUAAAGAAGCACCGGCUAACUACGUG